AAUCCAAUCAAGCCUGGCUUGGUAUUGGGCGGCGGGACUCCCCCGCGCCCCAAUUUCACCGGCUGGCCGUCGCCCGUCUUAGCGUUGUGACACACUUUUCGCUAGCGACGGGAGCGGACCACGCCGUUAGAACCCAUGAAUUUCAAUCGAAAUUCGAUUA
rnacentral:misc_RNA from 1 species